UCGUAGGAAGAAAGGACAAGGGAAAGAUUGAGGGUGAUUGAUUCUUGGUUCUUAGCCUGAGCAGCAGGACUGAUGGUGAUGAUCUAAGUGAAGACUGAGGAGGGAAGGAAGAAUUGUCAGUGUCUCUGGAACACAUGCAGAGAUACCUGGGAGGCGGCUGAACGGAAGGGUGUGCUGCUCCGAAGACAGAAGAGAGACCCAGCCUGGCAACCGAGGUUCUGGGGAUUGAUCAAGUCUGGAGAUGACGGCAGAAGCCCAUCGGAGUAACUGAGAGCACCCAGGAAAACCCAGGCUGGGAUGUCACAGUCAGCUUGGAAUCAGUGAUGGGUCAAGGGACAACAAUGGGACUCAAGCUGAACCCAAGCAGAUUACUUCCUGAAGGUUUAUUCUAAAUGGAACAAAGAGAAAAGGUUAGAUUCUUGUGCGAUUGGAAUUCAAAUUGCCUGUGGCCACAUUCCCUGCCUCACAGGGAAAACGUGUGUGCUCCACGACAUAAUGAAGUAAAACUAGACAGGUUCAUGCCAAGGCAAGGUGGACGGAAGCCAUUGAUGAUGUCGAGGCACAGGUCUUGGGUCCCUGCCCUUGCACACUGUCCUGGUCCCUGCAUCUGUACAUUGCACCGGAGCACUCUCAGAAAUCCCUGGUACUUCUUUCUUUGCUUAAGUUCAUCUGAGUUCAGGUUUUGUGUAACCUGUAACUAAAAUCACAUUACAAGUGCAGCUUCCCAGGCUCCUCACUGCUGGCAGCCUCUGUCUUUUCCAUAUUCCCCCAUUGCCUGGGGGUUUCAUCUCCCUCAACAAUUUAACACAGUGAAGGAAAACCCCGGUUUCUCAAAGCAGGAGUAUCAGAACCUUUUGGACCAUUGGGACAUCAAAUUUCACCAUCUCUCAAUUUUUGAGAUGUCCUUCAUCAGAGCAACAGUGAAGGAACUGGAAGAUCAUCAGUUAGAUUCUGUGUCAUCUCUAAGAACAAAUGCAUCAUCUCUUCAUCGCACAUGCGCCCCCACACAUGCUAAGGUGCUGUCUUAGGAACGUAUAGAGCAGUUUUGCAGUUGUUGCUUUCAAGACCAAAUGAAAGUUGCUUCCAAGACCAAUGCUUUAUAAAUGAAAGACCUUUUGGGGCGGCAUUGGGUCAGGUUAAAUAUCUUUAAAACCAUCUGGAGCAUGAUUUCCUUUCUUCUUAACAAUUUCUUGGUGCUAUUUUUCUUUAAGCUCAACUGUAGUAGGGGGAAAAAAAAAAAGCCCUAGAAUUCAAGCCAAAAAUCGGUGUGAAUCCUGACAGCAGGCUCCAAAAUGCCAAGUGGGAGUGAAAGAAAAGGAAACACUGACUUUUUCCAAAGCCAUGUAACAAUUCAUCCUUCAGCAGAUACCCAUGUGGUCUGAUGCGUCUGAGUUUUCAGAGGCUGGCCUGGGCCAGCAGGAACCGUUUGUCUCGGUGGCUGCGUGUUGUCUUGUGCCCAUCUAUCCAUCUCCUUCUACCACUCUGAAUCUGGUGACCUUUAGGAUUUGCUGCAAAAUCCAGAUGUUCAAUCUGGCUUGUAAAUCCCCGGAGGACUAACUAUUGGAAUAUUGGAGAGGUGCAUGUAGAUAUUUUAAACUGCAAAUGAUAAGUUAAUGAGGAGGACGGCUGGUGAGAGGGUGGGAAGGAAUGAUCUACUGCUAGAAAUUGGAUUUUCUGUGGCUGAUUCCACUUUGGGGAAGAAAUUCUUACUGUUAAUCCUAGAAUGAUAUGGCUGAUAAAGACGGUCUUAUAACUAUGGAGGUAGGCUUCAGUUUAAGAAAGCCAUGAUCAAAAUCUCAACUUUGAAAUGCAUUAACCAUACACUAGUUAUUUGAAUUUCAAGAUGUCAAUUAAUAUUUUUUAAUCAAAUGAUUCUUGUAAAUAUCUUGUUUCUCCAGUACCUUCAAAAUAGAUUUCUCAUGAUGACAUGCACAUAUUAGAAGAAAAGUACACUUUGAGGAAGUUAUAAAUGCAUAUCCUCUGAAACUGUCAGCUUGAGAGGCUUAAUCACAUGGCUGUCCCAAUAGUGGUUUGAUAAGUGGCUUGGUUACCCCUGACCUUGAGAGGAGUUCCUGUGCUUCUGAAGGUCCCUGUGGCUAUGACUGAAUUUAAGGUUGUGGUUGGAGAGUUGUUAAAUAUGACAGAUUCUGAGAGCUACUAAUAAAACUGAUAAAUUCCUAAA